rnacentral:rRNA from 1 species
AUUGAACGCUGGCGGCAUGCUUUACACAUGCAAGUCGAACGGUAACAGGCCGCAAGGUGCUGACGAGUGGCGAACGGGUGAGUAAUGCAUCGGAACGUGCCCAGUCGUGGGGGAUAACGCAGCGAAAGCUGUGCUAAUACCGCAUACGAUCUAUGGAUGAAAGCGGGGGACCGUAAGGCCUCGCGCGAUUGGAGCGGCCGAUGUCAGAUUAGGUAGUUGGUGGGGUAAAGGCUCACCAAGCCAACGAUCUGUAGCUGGUCUGAGAGGACGACCAGCCACACUGGGACUGGGACACGGCCCAGACUCCUCCGGGAGGCAGCAGUGGGGAAUUUUGGACAAUGGGCGCAAGCCUGAUCCAGCAAUGCCGCGUGCAGGAAGAAGGCCUUCGGGUUGUAAACUGCUUUUGUACGGAACGAAAAGGUUUGGGUUAAUACCCUGCGGUUUUGACGUUACCGACAGAAUAAGCACCGGCUAACUUCGUGCCAGCAGCCGCCGUAACAC